GCGUGGAGGAUGAAUGCCGUAAGGUUGUAAACUCCUGUUGGAGGGGAAGAAAAAGCCCGAUCGAAUCGGGAACUGACUGUACCCUCAGAGGAAGCCCCGGCUAACUACGUGCCAGCAGCCGCGGUAAUACGUAGGGGGCAAGCGUUGUCCGGAUUUACUGGGUGUAAAGGGCGCGCAGGCGGGUUAGCAAGUCAGAGGUGAAAUCCUACAGCUUAACUGUAGAACUGCCUUUGAUACUGCUAAUCUUGAGUACGGAAGAGAGAGAUGGAAUUCCAGGUGUAGUGGUGAAAUACGU
rnacentral:rRNA from 1 species